ACGGGUGAGUAACACGUAUCCAACCUGCCGUCUACUCUUGGACAGCCUUCUGAAAGGAAGAUUAAUACAAGAUGGCAUCAUGAGUCCGCAUGUUCACAUGAUUAAAGGUAUUCCGGUAGACGAUGGGGAUGCGUUCCAUUAGAUAGUAGGCGGGGUAACGGCCCACCUAGUCUUCGAUGGAUAGGGGUUCUGAGAGGAAGGCCCCCCACAUUGGAACUGAGACACGGUCCAA
rnacentral:rRNA from 1 species